AGAGUUUGAUCCUGGCUCAGGAUGAACGCUGGCGGCGUGCUUAACACAUGCAAGUCGAACGGUGAACACGGAGCUUGCUCUGUAGGAUCAGUGGCGAACGGGUGAGUAACACGUGAGCAACCUGCCCCUGACUCUGGGAUAAGCGCUGGAAACGGCGUCUAAUACUGGAUAUGUGACGUGAUCGCAUGGUCUGCGUCUGGAAAGAAUUUCGGUUGGGGAUGGGCUCGCGGCCUAUCAGCUUGUUGGUGAGGUAAUGGCUCACCAAGGCGUCGACGGGUAGCCGGCCUGAGAGGGUGACCGGCCACACUGGGACUGAGACACGGCCCAGACUCCUACGGGAGGCAGCAGUGGGGAAUAUUGCACAAUGGGCGCAAGCCUGAUGCAGCAACGCCGCGUGAGGGACGACGGCCUUCGGGUUGUAAACCUCUUUUAGCAGGGAAGAAGCGAAAGUGACGGUACCUGCAGAAAAAGCGCCGGCUAACUACGUGCCAGCAGCCGCGGUAAUACGUAGGGCGCAAGCGUUAUCCGGAAUUAUUGGGCGUAAAGAGCUCGUAGGCGGUUUGUCGCGUCUGCUGUGAAAUCCGGAGGCUCAACCUCCGGCCUGCAGUGGGUACGGGCAGACUAGAGUGCGGUAGGGGAGAUUGGAAUUCCUGGUGUAGCGGUGGAAUGCGCAGAUAUCAGGAGGAACACCGAUGGCGAAGGCAGAUCUCUGGGCCGUAACUGACGCUGAGGAGCGAAAGGGUGGGGAGCAAACAGGCUUAGAUACCCUGGUAGUCCAA
rnacentral:rRNA from 1 species